rnacentral:snoRNA from 1 species
UGGUAGUAAUGUAAAAAGGGACGGUCUUAUGGCUGCUAUCAUUUGGUUGGUAGUAUGUUGAUGAAAGUCUGCGUGAUGUAUUUUUUUAUGAGCAGC